UGCAUGGUUGUCGUCAGCUCGUGUCGUGAGAUGUUGGGUUAAGUCCCGCAACGAGCGCAACCCUCGCCUCUAGUUGCCAGCAUUCAGUUGGGCACUCUAAGGUGACUGACCGGCUAAAAGUCGGAGGAAGGUGGGGAUGACGUCAAAUCAUCAUGCCCCUUAUGACCUGGGCUACACACGUGCUACAAUGGGCGGUACAAAGGGUCGCGAACCCGCGAGGGGGAGCCAAUCCCAAAAAGCCGCUCUCAGUUCGGAUUGCAGGCUGCAACUCGCCUGCAUGAAGCCGGAAUCGCUAGUAAUUGCGGAUCAGCAUGCCGCGGUGAAUACCGGUUCCCGGGCCUU
rnacentral:rRNA from 1 species